ACGAACGCUGGCGGCAGGCUUAACACAUGCAAGUCGAGCGAGGGCUUCGGCCCUAGCGGCGGACGGGUGAGUAACGCGUGGGAACGUGCCCUUCUCUCUGGAAUAGCCCUGGGAAACCGGGAGUAAUGCCGGAUACGCCCCUGAGGAGUAGAUCCUCUGGGGGAAAGAUUUAUCGGGGAAGGAUCGGCCCGCGUCGGAUUAGGUAGUUGGUGGGGUAACGGCCCACCAAGCCGACGAUCCGUAGCUGGUUUGAGAGGAUGAUCAGCCACACUGGGACUGAGACACGGCCCAGACUCCUACGGGAGGCAGCAGUGGGGAAUCUUGGACAAUGGGGGCAACCCUGAUCCAGCCAUGCCGCGUGAGCGAUGAAGGCCUUAGGGUUGUAAAGCUCUUUCAGCGGGGAAGAUAAUGACGGUACCCGCAGAAGAAGCCCCGGCUAACUCCGU
rnacentral:rRNA from 1 species